rnacentral:lncRNA from 1 species
CAGUGCGAAUUAUGUGCAUGCGUUAAUGACUAGUAGGGAAUAGGGAUGUCAAUGGGUCGGAUUUGGAGUGAAUUUUGCAAAAAUCUGAACCCGAAUUCGAACUGGAAUCUGAACAUGACUACCGAACCCGAAAAUCAAACCUAAAUCCGAAUCCAAAUCCGACAUACUAUAAAAAUACAUAUCCAAAUCCGAAUUCAUCCAAAAAUCUGAAAAUCUAAAACCAGGACCCGAAUCCGAAAACAUGGCCGAAACAAUUAUUUCUCUUUACCAUAUUCAAAACAUAUUACAUUAAAUCUAAAAUUUUAAAAUACCAAUUCAAAUAGAAUAUCAAAUAUUUAUUUUUAUAUUAUAUAAUGUUAAACUAAUUCGGGUUUGGGUUCGGGUUUAAAUUGGGUACAGACAAAAUCUAACUGAAUCUUAAUCUGUCGGAUUUUCACUUUUUAUAUCCGUAUCCGAAGUUACGUCUAUUUAGCAUCGAAUAGAUUCGCCCCGUUUGAAUUCGGAUUUGAAUAAAAUUUUGGGUAUUCGUAUCCAUCGACAUCCUUAUGACUAGUGUCGGAUCGUCGGGGCUAACUAUUAAUCCUAAAGAUUCGAGCGAUUAGAAAUACGCAAGCAUUUUCAUUUAAAAGCGUACAGACAGCGCCCACGUAUCUCAAUUGUGACUCGACUGAAAUAGUCUCGCUCCAUUGCGAACAUGAGUUGGCCUAACUUGACCUCCCGCCAUUUCGAAAGUGAUUCGGCUCAAUCCGACCCCCCUCACAUAAUGAAAUGCUGGUCCCUUUAAGCCAAUAACUAAUACUAUAUUAUUGAACCACAUAAUUAAUGUGCCAGCUUUGAUCAGUGCAGAGUUGUCUUCAACUAUACUGUUGCCUCUUGGAUGCAAUUUGAAGGCGACGGUGAUGGUAUCCGUUUGGCCUGCAGGCUUUAGCUUGAGUGGCCCGCACAAGUUGCUCACUUCUGUGUGGUUGUUAGGAACUUAGGAUGAAGCCAGGCAGCUUUUGCGUGGACAAUUCGUGGUGCUGAGUCCUAAACACGAAAAAUUCUAGAAUGCACUGGAUAUAUUGGUGACCUGGUGUAGCAAAUCAAUCAAUAACAAACCAAUCAUAUAUUGGUGAGUCCUAAACACGAAAAAUUCUAGAAUGCACUGGAUAUAUUGGUGACCUGGUGUAGCAAAUCAAUCAAAUAUCUCCUUUUAGAGAUAUAUGCCUCAUCAUAAUUAUAAAAAAAUAUUUUUAUUAUACUUUUGUUUGAAAAGAAAAAAAUAUGAUUGGUUUGUUAUUGAUAACGCGGUACUAAAUGUGACGUUGUAGAAUUCCUCCCUAAACACACAUC